CAGUAGCCGCGGUAAUACGUAGGGCGCAAGCGUUGUCCGGAAUUACUGGGCGUAAAGCGCACGUAGGCUGACAUUUAAGUCAGGGGUGAAAUCCCGGGGCUCAACCUCGGAACUGCCUUUGAUACUGGGUGUCUUGAGUGUGGAAGAGGUAAGUGGAAUUGCGAGUGUAGAGGUGAAAUUCGUAGAUAUUCGCAGGAACACCAGUGGCGAAGGCGGCUUACUGGUCCACAACUGACGCUGAGGUGCGAAAGCGUGGGGAGCAAACAGGAUUAGAUACCCGGGUAGUCCCUGUCUCUUAUAC
rnacentral:rRNA from 1 species